ACUUUUCCAUGGCUCCAUCCCAACUCACCACUUAGAACUCCAUAAGCCACGAAGCAGGGUAAUCAUCCUUAUGAAAUUCAGAGAGAAUAAAGGCAAACAGCCUGGGGCCAGGCGGAUUCAUGUUGGGCACAGCUGCUAGACAACUGAAGUGAAGAGACCACAGGGCCCAGGAAGGAGUGAGCAGCUACCAAUUCAGGCAAGAAGUUGACGCUACAAAGCACUCUUGGCCCUUGAAAGAAAGGCAUCCAGGGAGUCCCGGAGGCCAUUACUCCCUUGGAAGGGAAGAGUCAUGAGACACAGAGACAAGGCCUAGGGGAGAAGUGAGAAGGUCUAGAUCUCCAUCCAACUCUCGCUGCACUCUUCAGGUGGAGUGAGGGACUGACUGAAUUUGUCUCCUCCCCCACAACGGUGUCACUCACCAUUGGAGCAGAAUCAGAGACAACUCCUGUGUGGAACCCUUUGUAGCACCAACUCCGAAGCAGAUCUACUCCUAGGACAAGAUUAGCAGGGGUGGGACUUAAGAGGGUGGAAUCAACUGGUCAAUUCUUGCCAGGGAGGCCCAUUUCUUGGUCUACUGAGAUUUAAUCACUCACUAAACAUGGCCUCCUGUGGGUAGGGAGGACACAUCACCUUUGA